rfam:Varecia variegata variegata prion protein (PrP) gene, partial cds.
CCAGGGCGGCGGCUGGGGACAACCCCAUGGGGGUGGCUGG